rnacentral:rRNA from 1 species
GAUGAACGCUGGCGGCGUGCCUAAUACAUGCAAGUCGAGCGAACAGACGAGGAGCUUGCUCCUCUGACGUUAGCGGCGGACGGGUGAGUAACACGUGGAUAACCUACCUAUAAGACUGGGAUAACUUCGGGAAACCGGAGCUAAUACCGGAUAAUAUAUUGAACCGCAUGGUUCAAUAGUGAAAGACGGUUUUGCUGUCACUUAUAGAUGGAUCCGCGCCGCAUUAGCUAGUUGGUAAGGUAACGGCUUACCAAGGCAACGAUGCGUAGCCGACCUGAGAGGGUGAUCGGCCACACUGGAACUGAGACACGGUCCAGACUCCUACGGGAGGCAGCAGUAGGGAAUCUUCCGCAAUGGGCGAAAGCUUGACGGAGAAACGCCGCGUGAGUGAUGAAGGUCUUCGGAUCGUAAAACUCUGUUAUUAGGGAAGAACAAAUGUGUAAGUAACUAUGCACGUCUUGACGGUACCUAAUCAGAAAGCCACGGCUAACUACGUG